rnacentral:rRNA from 1 species
UGUCAGUACAGACUGAUAUUAAAGUGAAACCGCAAAUGGCUCAUUAAACCAGUUUUGAUUUACUAGAGUGAACUUGACUGUUCUUGCAUAACUGUGGUAAUUCUAGAGCUAAUACAUGCAACUAAGCCCUGACCAUCCCUGGAAAGGGCGCUUUUAUUACAUCAAAACCAUUCGCCCGGCUUGUCCGGGCGUCUGCUUGAUGAACCUAGAUAACACAUCAGAUCGCAUGGUCUCAAUACCGGCGACGUAUCUUACAUAUGCCUGACUUAUCAACUGUCAAUGGUAUACUCUGCGUCUACCAUGGCUCUUACGGGUAACGGGGGAUCAGGGUUCGAUUCCGGAGAGGGAGCCUGACAAACGGCUACCACAUCCAAGGAAGGCAGCUUGCACGCAAAUUACCCACUCCCGGCACGGGGAGGUAGUGACAAAAAAUAACGAUACGGGACUCGAUUUGAGGCCCCGUAAUCGGAAUGAGUACACUUUAAAUCCUUUAACAAGGAUCCAUUGGAGGGAAAGUCUGGUGCCAGCAGCCGCGGUAAUUCCAGCUCCAAUAGCGUAUAUUAAAGUUGUUGCGGUUAAAAAGAUUGUAGUUGGUUGUGCGUCCCCCGCAGUCGGUACACUGUUAGUUGGUGACACUGGCAUGUCGUGGAAUGUCCUGUCGGAGGCGGUCGGGCCAUGGGGCCAGUGGGGACUUGUUCCUCAAGGGAACCCAGUUGCUUUCUCUAUCCUACCGCGGUGCUCUUGAAUGAGUGUCGAGGUAGGCCGACACGUUUACUUUGAACAAAUUAGAGUGCUUAAAGCAGGCCAAAAUGUCGCCUGAAUAUUUUUAUGCAUGGAAUAAUGGCACAGGACCUUGGUUGUAUUUUGUUGGUGUUAGGAACCCAAGGUAAUGAUCAAUACGGACAGGCGGGGGCAUUCGUAUUGGGACGUUAGAGGUGAAAUUCUUGGAUUGUCGCAAGACGCACUAGAGCGAAAGCAUUUGCCAAAGAUGUCUCAUAAUCAAGAAUUAUGAGACGCAGCGAUCCGCCGACGUUCCUCCGAUGACUCGGCGGGGAGCUUUCCCCGGGAAACCAAAGCUUUUGGGUUCCGGGGGAAGUAUGGUUGCAAAGCUGAAACUUAAAGGAAUUGACGGAAGGGCACCACCAGGAGUGGAGCCUGCGGCUUAAUUUGACUCAACACGGGAAACCUCACCAGGUCAGGACAUUGGAAUGAUUGACAGAUUGAUAGCUCUUUCUUGAUUCAGUGGGUAGUGGUGCAUGGCCGUUCUUAGUUGGUGGAUCGAUUUGUCUGGUUAAUUCCGAUAACGAACGAGACUCUAGCCUAUUAACUAGACGUUUCCGGUAUCGUAGCUACCGGCGAUGAACAAUCUUCUUAAGGGGACAGGCGGCUCUUAGCCGCACGAGAUUGAGCAAUAACAGGUCUGUGAUGCCCUUAGAUGUCCUGGGCCGCACGCGCGCUACACUGAAGGAAUCAGCGUGUGCGUUCCCUUGGCCGAAAGGUCCGGGUAACCCGCUGAACCUCCUUCGUGCUAGGAAUUGGGGCUUGCAAUUGUUCCCCAUGAACGAGGAAUUCCCAGUAAGCGCGAGUCAUAAGCUCGCGUUGAUUACGUCCCUGCCCUUUGUACACACCGCCCGUCGCUACUACCGAUUGAAUGAUUUAGUGAGGUCUUCGGACUGGCGGUAAGCCUGACCGGCCUCGCCGGUUUUGAUGAACGCUGGAAAGAUGACCUAAACUUGAUCAUUAGAGGAAGUA